rnacentral:ncRNA from 2 species
UACGGAGGAUGCGAGCGUUAUCCGGAUUUAUUGGGUUUAAAGGGUGCGUAGGCGGUUUAAUAAGUCAGCGGUUAAAUGUCGGGGCUCAACCUCGGCCUGCCGUUGAAACUGUUGAACUAGAGUUAGAGUGGAGCAUGCGGAAUGCGCAGUGUAGCGGUGAAAUGCAUAGAUAUUGCGCAGAACUCCGAUCGCGAAGGCAGCGUGCUAACUCUCGACUGACGCUGAGGCACGAAAGCGCGGGUAUCGAACAGG